rnacentral:rRNA from 1 species
AUUGAACGCUGGCGGCAUGCUUUACACAUGCAAGUCGGACGGCAGCACAGAGAAGCUUGCUUCUUGGGUGGCGAGUGGCGAACGGGUGAGUAACAUAUCGGAACGUACCGAGCAGUGGGGGAUAACUAAUCGAAAGAUUAGCUAAUACCGCAUAUUUUCUGAGGAAGAAAGCAGGGGACCUUUGGGCCUUGCGCUGUUUGAGCGGCCGAUAUCUGAUUAGCUAGUUGGUGGGGUAAAGGCCUACCAAGGCGACGAUCAGUAGCGGGUCUGAGAGGAUGAUCCGCCACACUGGGGACUGAGACACGGCCCAGACUCCUACGGGAGGCAGCAGUGGGGAAUUUUGGACAAUGGGCGCAAGCCUGAUCCAGCCAUGCCGCGUGUCUGAAGAAGGCCUUCGGGUUGUAAAGGACUUUUGUCG